rnacentral:siRNA from 1 species
AUAUGAAUCUACACAUCAACGUA